CCCUUAGAUGUCCGGGGCUGCACGCGCGCUACACUGAAGGAAUCAGCGUGCUAAAACCAUUGUCGAAAGGCAUUGGUAAACCCAUUAAAAUCCUACGUGAUUGGGAUCGGGAAUUGCAAUUAUUUCCCUUGAACGAGGAAUUCCCAGUAAGUGUGGGUCAUAAGCUCGCGUUGAUUACGUCCCUGCCCUUUGUACACACCGCCCGUCGCUGCCCGGGACUGAGCCGUUUCGAGAAAAGCGGGGACUGCUGCUGUCGGGGCUUUCGGACCUUGGCUUCGGUGGAAACCGCUUUAAUCGCAGUGGCUUGAACCGGGCAAAAGUCGUAACA
rnacentral:rRNA from 1 species